AGGAUCAUGGUAACUAUCUUUGCCAAAUCAACCUGAAACCUUCAAAAACAGAUUUGAUGAGCGUGCCAAAAUUUGUAAUGACAUUUUGUCCGUCAUCGAUAAGCACCUCAUUCCAUCGUCUACCACUGUGGAGUCUUCUGUUUUUUUCUACAAUAUAUGAAAGGAGAGUAUCUUCCUUAUUUGGCAGAGUUCAGUUCUGGCUCUCCAUGCAAGGAAGCUAAAGAUCAGUCUCUUGAAGCAUAUAAGGUCCUUUGAUAAUGUUUUGUGCCUUCCCUCUUUAUAUGUGAGCUCGGAAAAAUACUGAAAAAUAUGUUUUGUGUAUUGGUAAUGGCAUUGUAGGUUUGCUGUUACUGCUGCAGAGACUGGUUUGAGACAACCACUUCCAGUUAUACUUGACUAUGCAUUGGAAUUUCCUGAAAGGUUACUUUGCUUACAUACAUAUGAUCAUUUAAUGAAAUCGGUGUGGUGUUGUUACUUUCUUACAGUCUGAAACUGUGUGUGUUGUACCAAUUGGCUAAGAAAGCGUUCGAUGUUGCAAUUAAAAAAUUUGACAAAGUCAGCGAUGAUUGAAGCAGACAAGGACACAGUACUCUUAUAAUUCUGCUACAAAGAGACAAUGUCAACAUGUGGACUUCAGACAUCACACAAGAAGGAGGUUAUCUUUUUAUUUCCCUAUCUGAAUCUCUGAUGAUAGGUACAGUAGUUUUCUUUGGAAUCAAAAUGGAGCCUUUUUGUGAAAUCUUGUUAGUUCUUGAAUUGUUAAGAGCCUAAACUUUGAUUGAAUAUGUUGAUGCUUGGGAACAUACAAACCAUUAGCAUACUAGUUUCUUGUUUCUCUUCCAAAGCUUACACUCAACUUUUUUUAAAGCUACUCCAAGAUUAUUUUUUCAUUUUGGCAUUGCCAAGGGAAUUACUUAAUCAUCGCAGAACUGAAUCUUGAAUCCUCUGCGAGAAGAGAAACGACUCUUGAUGCAUCCUGAGUGUGUAACUUUAAUUUAUGUAAUCUUGUUGGUGUUUCCAGAUCUUUAACAACAAUGCAUAACGUCAAACUUCUUAUGCUGGUUGCUUGUCACCGACGUUUCUUCAUUCUUUCUUUUUAUAGUCAAAUGAAUCUAUGAAGAAGAAACCUCGAGAAUUGCUUUGGUACAACUUCUAAAUCAUUUUGUCAUCCAUCUACAAUCAGAAGCAUUGUUGAAAUUAAAUAUAAAUUGUAGUAACCUGAUCCAUCCUAAUUUUUAAUCCUUUGUAGGAUAAUGACAUUUACCUACAACAAUGAUAAAGAUAACUUUUGUUUGGCAAUGUAAAUCUCAUCAUACAAAUGACAAAUACUUUGGUUAAAACAUAUAUAUGCAAACCUAAUCCAAAAGUACUUUCACAUAAUUUAAAAACAUCCUAAUAUUUAUAUCUCGAUGAUUAAAUAUAACAAAUCAACCAAUUAUAAUAACACAAAUCCCCCAUCACCACCCACCAACUCCAUUUCUCCCUUUUUUUCUUGUUCAUAUUCUUGUCGUCUUUAAAAACACACAAUUUACACAACGAA